CGCACAUUGCACCCUCUGGUAUUCCAGAGGGUAUGCCUGUUUGAGCGUCAUUUCUCUCUCAAACCUUUGGGUUUGGUAUUGAGUGAUACUCUGUCAAGGGUUAACUUGAAAUAUUGAAUUAGCAAGAGUGUACCUGUCAGUACUCCUUCUGUAAUAAUGUAUUAGGUUCUUCCAACUCGUUAUAUCAGCUAGGCAGUUAUUGCAAGUAUUUUAGGCUCGGCUUAACAACAAUAACAUAAAGUUUGACCUCAAAUCAGGUAGGACUACCCGCUGAACUUAA
rnacentral:misc_RNA from 1 species